rnacentral:piRNA from 1 species
UGGACAAGCUGAGGGGCAGAUUCUAUGA